rnacentral:rRNA from 1 species
UGAGGAAUAUUGGUCAAUGGGCGGGAGCCUGAACCAGCCAAGCCGCGUGAGGGAUGAAGGCCCUGUGGGUCGUAAACCUCUUUUGUCAGGGAACAAAAGCGAGUAUGUAUACUAGUCUGAGUGUACCUGAAGAAAAAGCAUCGGCUAACUCCGUGCCAGCAGCCGCGGUAAUACGGAGGAUGCGAGCGUUAUCCGGAUUUAUUGGGUUUAAAGGGUGCGUAGGCGGCGGUGCAAGUCAGCGGUAAAAGCCCGGGGCUCAACCCCGGCGAGCCGUUGAAACUGCAGUGCUAGAGAAGGCGAGAGGUACGCGGAAUGCGCAGUGUAGCGGUGAAAUGCUUAGAUAUUGCGCAGAACUCCGAUUGCGAAGGCAGCGUACUGGCGCCUGACUGACGCUGAGGCACGAAAGCGUGGGGAUCGAACAGGAUUAGAUACC